rnacentral:rRNA from 1 species
CAGCCGCGGUAAUACGAAGGGGGCGAGCGUUGUUCGGAUUUACUGGGCGUAAAGGGCGCGUAGGCGGCGCAACAAGUCAGGCGUGAAAGCCCCGGGCUCAACCUGGGAAUGGCGCUUGGGACUGUUGUGCUGGGGUUCGGGAGAGGAGCGUGGAAUUCCCAGUGUAGAGGUGAAAUUCGUAGAUAUUGGGAAGAACACCGGUGGCGAAGGCGGCGCUCUGGACCGAGACUGACGCUGAGGCGCGAAAGCGUGGGGAGCAAACAGGAUUAGAUACCCUGGUAGUCCACGCCGUAAACGAUGUGUGCUAGACGUUGGGGAGCCUAGCUUCUCGGUGUCGCAGCCAACGCGGUAA